AUGAGCUGCCAAUCAAACUGGUUAGUGUCAGUGUCAGUUUUAGUGCAGGAGGUUUUUGUACAGCUGUUGAUUGGGUUUGUAUCCCUGUGGCGCACGUUCGGUGGAGGCACUCGUCUCUCAGUUGGAACUGCGGCUCGUCCCGCUCUCACAGUGCUGCCUCCCUCCAGAGACGAGCUGCAGCAGGGUAAGGCUACAGUGCUGUGUGUGGCCAGUAAGGGAUUCCCCUCUGACUGGAAGCUGAGCUGGAAGGUGGACGGCAGCAGCAGGAGCUCUGGUGUCAAUCUGAGUCCCAGUCAGCUGCAGAAGGAUGGACUGUACAGCUGGAGCAGCAGCCUGAGCCUCACUGAGAGUGAGUGGAGCAGAGCAACAACCGUCAGCUGUGACGCCACGCACCCGUCCCACAAUGCAGUCACCAAGAGCCUCAACACACAGCAGUGCAAUGACCAGUGAAAUACAUACUCUGACAUAGAUUAUAGGCAUGCAUAAUCACUCAUUUAUAUUCAAACAACCACACAUACACAGCCUUACUAAUGGACAAACAAGACUGUGUACCAAUUUACUCUUUAUGUUAAUCUUUCUUUAAGCCUGCUUUAACACUUAUGAUCAAUUUUUAAU